GAUGAACGCUAGCUACAGGCUUAACACAUGCAAGUCGAGGGACGGGAGCAAGGGUGAGUAACGCGUAUCCAACCUACCCAUUACUGUGGGAUAACCUGCCGAAAGGCAGACUAAUACCGCAUAGUAAUGGAUGGGGAUGCGUCUGAUUAGAUUGUUGGGGGGGUAACGGCCAACCAAGGGAACGAUCAGUAGGGGUUCUGAGAGGAAGGUCCCCCACGUUGGAACUGGGCCACGGUCCAAACUAGUACCGGAGGCAGCAGUGACGAGUAUUGGUCAAUGGGCGCGAGCCUCAACCGGCCAAGUGGCGUGCAGGAUGACGGCCUAUGGGUUGUAAACUGCUUUUGUAGGGGGGUAGGUACCAUACGAAUAAGGACCGGCUAAUUCCGUGCCAGCAGCCGCGGUAAUUC
rnacentral:rRNA from 1 species